GUAUUUCUCUUCCACUUCAGACAAAGACUCUCACAAUUCACUCAAUGAAGUAUCUGGAUUUAUUAAUCUGCUGGUGUCUCCACUUCCUCUUCUGGAUGAGUUUCCACUCAGAGGAGUUGUUGCUGAAGCAGAAUUUCGAGAUGAAGGCCUUGUAUAAUUUUCAGCAUACUGUUUGUCAGAUUUUUCAUCCAACUCUCUGGCAGUGUUACUCAAAGCUUCAUCAUCUGCAGAAAAUCGAUCUUUCACAGGUGUUCUUUUCCUUCCCGAACAAGGAGUCCCAAUCCUGUGCUCUUAAUACUCUUUUAAAUAUGAAAGUAACUUCACUUUCAUUACCACUUAGUAAUGGUAGCUCUCCUUUCCCCGGAUAUUUAUCUUGCUUCUAGACUGCUUCAUUCAUCUGCCCACAUCUGUCUCGGGGCGGACUGUAAUGCCGCCCAGGAAGGGCCCGCUGAGCUCUCGGCGGCAAGAGGCGAAGGGCAAGCGGCACUGUGGCCAGCCUCCGCCCGGGUUCCCCAGCCAGGCGGGCCGAAAGGAUGUGGUGGCUCCCAGCGUCGGCGACCAGCCAGUCAGUCACGCCGGUGAGUCCCAAGCGCCACGGCCGGGACAGCGGGAACUGGACCUGGGAUGAGGCGCAGCCCGAGCUGCCGGCAGAAAAGAUGAGGGGGCGGGGCCACGGGGCGGGCAACCCGC
rnacentral:lncRNA from 1 species